UAUUGAGUUUGAUCAUGGCUCAGAGCGAACGCUGGCGGCAGGCCUAACACAUGCAAGUCGAGCGCCCCGCAAGGGGAGCGGCAGACGGGAGAGUAACACGUGGGAACGUGCCCUUUGGUUCGGAACAACACAGGGAAACUUGUGCUGAUACCGGAUAAGUCCGUAAGGAGAAAGGUUUAUCGCCAAAGGAUCGGCCCGCGUCUGAUUAGCUUGUUGGUGAGGUAACGGCUCACCAAGGCGACGAUCAGUAGCUGGUCUGAGAGGAUGAUCAGCCUCACUGGGACUGAGACACGGCCCAGACUCCUACGGGAGGCAGCAGUGGGGAAUAUUGGACAAUGGGCGCAAGCCUGAUCCAGCCAUGCCGCGUGGAUGAUGAAGGCCCUAGGGUUGUAAAGUCCUUUCGGCGGGGAAGAUAAUGACGGUACCCGCAGAAGAAGCCCCGGCUAACUUCGUGCCAGCAGCCGCGGUAAUACGAAGGGGGCUAGCGUUGCUCGGAAUCACUGGGCGUAAAGCGCACGUAGGCGGCUUUCUAAGUCAGAGGUGAAAUCCUGGAGCUCAACUCCAGAACUGCCUUUGAUACUGGAGAGCUUGAGUCCGGGAGAGGUGAGUGGAACUGCGAGUGUAGAGGUGAAAUUCGUAGAUAUUCGCAAGAACACCAGUGGCGAAGGCGGCUCACUGGCCCGGUACUGACGCUGAGGUGCGAAAGCGUGGGGAGCAAACAGGAUUAGAUACCCUGGUAGUCCACGCCGUAAACGAUGGAUGCUAGCCGUUGUCGGGUUUACCCGUCAGUGGCGCAGCUAACGCAUUAAGCAUCCCGCCUGGGGGAGUACGGUCGCAAGAUUAAAAACUCAAAGGAAUUGACGGGGGGCCCGCACAAGCGGUGGAGCAUGUGGUUCAAUUCGAAGCAACGCGCAGAACCUUACCAGCCCUUGACAUCCCGGUCGCGAGUACCAGAGAUGGAACUCUUCAGUUCGGCUGGACCGGAGACAGGUGCUGCAUGGCUGUCGUCGGCUCGUGUCGUGAGAUGUUGGGUUAAGUCCCGCAACGAGCGCAACCCUCGCCCUUAGUUGCCAUCAUUUAGUUGGGCACUCUAAGGGGACUGCCGGUGAUAAGCCGCGAGGAAGGUGGGGAUGACGUCAAGUCCUCAUGGCCCUUACGGGCUGGGCUACACACGUGCUACAAUGACGGUGACAGUGGGAUGCAAUGGAGUAAUCCUGCGCAAAUCUCAAAAAGCCGUCUCAGUUCGGA
rnacentral:rRNA from 2 species